GUUUUAUUUUCAAUUCCUAAAAUCUGAAAGAAAAAUAAAUGUCACUGAUGAUUACGCAUGUAAGCAAAAACUAUAUAUUAUGAGUGAGUCUGGUAUGAAUUAUACAAAAUGUAUUCAUGAAGAGCAGGAAAAGUAUUUUAGAAAUUUAUUUAGAUAUACAAUGGAGUUUAAAUUUACCAGCAUGUGUUCGGCUAACCAUCCU